UGUGUGUUUUUUUAAAUGAAAAUUCGUCCUACAAUUCGUUAACUUUUAUAACAAAUAAAUAAUUAAUAAUUACACAGCUGGAUUAAUAUGCAAUUUGUUCAAGGUGGGUAAACGGUUUCAGGAGAGCAAGGGUUUGCAAUUUUCCUGUGACGAUAAGCUCUACUUUGGUUAUUGAGUUAGAAACCCAAUUUCUAUGACUGUCCCUUUUUUAACCGGAUCUCGGCGAACCCUAGAUACAGGAGAGUGAAAAACAAUAUGUUCAAAAAUUGUUACAGCCUGAGACGUGAUGUGUACAAAUCCUGAGACGAUUUUAGUCAAUUGCGUAAACAUCGGAGUGGGAUAAAAGCGUACAAGACCGGCUGAAAAAGUUUCUUUCAAUCCACGUAGAUUUUUGAGAAAAUUUAUUCAAUUCUGGUCUUAAAAAUUGGAAUUUGGAAAGGCGUUUUUUUAACUCUUUAACGGCUCCACUCAUAUCUUAACUUGAAAGUUUUAAACCUUUGAAAAAGUUAGUACAACUAAAUUAAAAUCUCGUAACAAGGUAUUCAUUCUUUUUAAAAAAACUGGAUGAAGAUAGUAUAUUUAAAUAUAAAAUUUACAAUUGUUAAACAUUGCGAUAAAUAUUACUGUAUUAUUUACU